ACGGGAGGCAGCAGUGGGGAAUAUUGCACAAUGGGCGCAAGCCUGAUGCAGCGAUGCCGCGUGAGGGAAGAAGGUUUUCGGAUUGUAAACCUCUGUCAACAGGGACGAAAAUGACGGUACCUGUGAAGGAAGCUCCGGCUAACUACGUGCCAGCAGCCGCGGUAAUACGUAGGGAGCAAGCGUUAUCCGGAUUUACUGGGUGUAAAGGGAGCGCAGGCGGGACUGCAAGUUGGAUGUGAAAUGUCGAGGCUUAACCUCGGAACUGCAUCCAAAACUGUAGUUCUUGAGUGGAGUAGAGGCAAGCGGAAUUCCGAGUGUAGCGGUGAAAUGCGUAGAUAUUCGGAGGAACACCAGUGGCGAAGGCGGCUUGCUGGGCUCUAACUGACGCUGAGGCUCGAAAGUGUGGGGAGCAAACAGGAUUAGAUACCCUGGUA
rnacentral:rRNA from 1 species